AGAGUUUGAUCCUGGCUCAGAACGUACGCUGGCGGCACGCCUAACACAUGCAAGUCGAACGAAGUAGCAAUACUUAGUGGCAGACGGGUGAGUAACAUGUAGGUAUCUACCCUUUGGCCUGGAAUAACACGAGGAAACUUGUGCUAAUACCGGAUAAGUCUUUACGGAGAAAGCUUUAUGCACCAUUGGAUGAGCCUGCACUUGAUUAGUUUGUUGGUGGGGUAAUGGCCUACCAAGACUGUGAUCAAUAGCUGAUUUUAGAGGAUGAUCAGCCACAUUGGGACUGAGACACGGCCCAAACUCCUACGGGAGGCAGCAGUGGGGAAUCUUGCACAAUGGAGGAAACUCUGAUGCAGCGAUGCCGCGUGAGUGAAGAAGGCCUUUGGGUUGUAAAGCUCUUUCGUCGGGGAAGAAAAUGACUGUACCCGAAUAAGAAGGUCCGGCUAACUUCGUGCCAGCAGCCGCGGUAAUACGAAGGGACCUAGCGUAGUUCGGAAUUACUGGGCUUAAAGAGUUCGUAGGUGGUUGAAAAAGUUGGUGGUGAAAUCCCAGAGCUUAACUCUGGAACUGCCAUCAAAACUUUUCAGCUAGAGUAUGAUAGAGGAAAGCAGAAUUUCUAGUGUAGAGGUGAAAUUCGUAGAUAUUAGAAAGAAUACCAAUUGCGAAGGCAGCUUUCUGGAUCAUUACUGACACUGAGGAACGAAAGCAUGGGUAGCGAAGAGGAUUAGAUACCCUCGUAGUCCAUGCCGUAAACGAUGUGUGUUAGACGUUGGAAAUUUAUUUUCAGUGUCGCAGCGAAAGCGAUAAACACACCGCCUGGGGAGUACGACCGCAAGGUUAAAACUCAAAUGAAUUGACGGGGACCCGCACAAGUAGUGGAGCAUGUGGUUUAAUUCGAAGAUACGCGCAGAACCUUACCAACACUUGACAUGUUCGUCGCGACUUUAAGAGAUUAAAGUUUUCGGUUCGGCCGGACGAAACACAGGUGCUGCAUGGCUGUCGUCAGCUCGUGUCGUGAGAUGUUGGGUUAAGUCCCGCAACGAGCGCAACCCUCACUUUUAGUUGCCAUCAUUAAGUUGGGCACUCUGAAAGAACUGCCAGUGAUAAGCUGGAGGAAGGUGGGGAUGACGUCAAGUCCUCAUGGCCCUUACGUGUUGGGCUACACACGUGCUACAAUGGUAUCUACAACAGGAAGCAAGACUGCGAAGUUAAGCAAAUCCUUAAAAGAUACCUCAGUUCGGAUUGCACUCUGCAACUCGAGUGCAUGAAGCUGGAAUUACUAGUAAUCGUGGAUCAGCGUGCCACGGUGAAUGCGUUCCCGGGUCUUGUACACACCGCCCGUCACACCAUGGGAGUUGGUUCUACCUUAAGGCAAGGUUUAAAACCCUUGACCACGGUAUAGUCAGCGACUGGGGUGAAGUCAUAACAAGGUAACCGUA
rnacentral:rRNA from 1 species